GAUGAACGCUGGCGGCGUGCCUAAUACAUGCAAGUCGAGCGAACGGACGAGAAGCUUGCUUCUCUGAUGUUAGCGGCGGACGGGUGAGUAACACGUGGAUAACCUACCUAUAAGACUGGGAUAACUUCGGGAAACCGGAGCUAAUACCGGAUAAUAUUUUGAACCGCAUGGUUCAAAAGUGAAAGACGGUCUUGCUGUCACUUAUAGAUGGAUCCGCGCUGCAUUAGCUAGUUGGUAGGGUAACGGCUUACCAAGGCAACGAUGCAUAGCCGACCUGAGAGGUUGAUCGGCCACACUGGAACUGAGACACGGUCCAGACUCCUACGGGAGGCAGCAGUAGGGAAUCUUCCGCAAUGGGCGAAAGCCUGACGGAGCAACGCCGCGUGAGUGAUGAAGGUCUUCGGAUCGUAAAACUCUGUUAUUAGGGAAGAACAUAUGUGUAAGUAACUGUGCACAUCUUGACGGUACCUAAUCAGAAAGCCACGGCUAACUACAUG
rnacentral:rRNA from 1 species